CCAUCGCCAUGCUGGUAGUGUGCAUCCUGAGAGCAGGGCUGUCAGUGCUGCAAGGGGCCAGUGGCAGACAAGAGUCUUGGGACAGGCUGUGCUGGAGGGAGGACUUUAUUCCUGACAGAAAGAAUGGAGGGUGGACUGCCUCUCUAUGCACUCUCAGGAAGAAUUACGGUCUCAUAGAGACCAGACUGAUUGGAGCAAAGGAUUAUGAGGAAACACACCUUGAGUCUUUCACCUAGAGCUUGAUACCACAGCCCUGGCUGAUGGGAUGGUAGCUUGCUGACCUGUCAUGAAGGUUGGGAACAUGAUGCUGGAUGUGAAUUGCUUGUCUCUGGCCAGGAUGUUGUACAGAGCUCCAACACCUCACCUUAUGUUCUCCAUAGUGAAGGCAGCCUGGGUGAUGUGUAGCUGGCAUUUCACUUUGAAGGAAAUUACCUUGUUUUAUCCUUCAAAAUAUUCUACCUGCUGAGUGACUCAGUGAGUGACUCACCUGCUCUGCUUUCCCAGCAGCUCUUACCUCAGGGCUGUCUCAGAAGGUGUUUUUCUGGCAGGGCGUUCAUGGUCUCAUCACAGCCCUGAUGCUGCUGCUGGCAGGGAAAAUGAGGCAACAGCAAAGCUGAGUCAAACCUUGGGCAUCUGAAAGAGGAGGCAAACCCAAGGGAGUGCCACAUUCUUCCCACUGGCAUGAGAGUGUUUUUCCCAGAGCACUGAGAGCUCUGCCAUGGUUCUCUGGCCCUACAGUGCUCUCAGCAGUUUUCCUAAGCUCUGGGGCCCUUAAGGUCCCAGCCCUGCUCCUGCUGGGAGAGCCUGCAGAUGUGUUAUCAGAAGUGAUGUGCCCCUCUCCUCACAGAAGAAGUGGACAAGCUGUUGUUCAGAUCACCUCCUUUACCAGCUGGGGAAUUUUAUCCAGCCUGCCUUUGGCCACAGCUCUGACUGGGCAUGGCAUUAGCAAGGAACUGAAAUCAGUGUGAGAAUCUGCAUCCCUCUUUCUUGUCACUUUGAGUCACUAACCAUCAACAGCUUUCCCUAUUGCAGGAGUGGGAGAGAGCAGGAGAGCCCUAGCAGAUGGUUUUAGAGGAAAGCAUGCUCAGAAACUAAGCUCCUCAAGGGAUUUCAUUCUCUCUCUUACUGUGGAGGAGGAGACACCACAGAAGCCAGCCUGGGAAUUAAUGGUUAUGUAGCCUCAGACACGUGCUGACACCAAGCAGGGAUGCAAGUACUGUUAUUAACUUAGAUCUUAAUAAACUUGGUUUGCAAGGA